AUUAUUCGUUCUAGAAACUGUGUUGCAAUUAUGUCGAUAAAUCUUGGGUUGUUGUUCAAAACGCUACUUUUCUGUUUUCUUGCCAAAACACGAAUACUCCAAGGAAUAUUUCAAUCCUUUGUUCUUGGAAAGAUGGAAGCGUUUCGAAUGGCCAACGUUGAUUCUAGUCAUCUAAUAUACCAAGUACAUUUCCCAUCGCAUCUCAUUCGAUUGUGUGAACCGUAGACGUCAAGUGGACGCGUUGUCGUCUGUCAUCUAUUUUCGUAACGUAGUGAUUUCGGUUGAGAUACAUGUAUUCGUCUAUUCAUUUAAUAUCCUCUAUCGAUUUCUUGGCAGCUGAGUGAGCAUUCUACUCUUCUGAGCCAUGUCACAGCCUUCCGUUAAUGUUCCGAUCAUCGGAGAAGCUCGAGUCAUCAACGUAGGUGGAUGUCCUGCGUGUCGAGUGGGGGUAAUGAAGUAUUACUUCACUUGUCCAGGGAUAAUUCUUGCCAUCUUAUUCUUCCCGCUAGGUCUACUUUGUCUUUUCGGAUUACAGGAACAACGGUGUUCACAUUGUGGAGUCGUGCUGUAACCUGUUAUAUACAGUAGGCCUACUUGGAAUUAACUAGACAUCACAAAAUAUUUUCUAAUGAAAUACUUCUACAUCUGUGGAUUAACGUGAUUGUCUUUAAAUAGUCGGGCAAUCCUGAUAAUUGACUAAAUGAGAUUGUAUUAAAAAUAAUACUUGCAGAAGUAAAACAUGCUGAAGUAACUUACACAAAAUCUUUGUUCGUAUUUUGCGCAAGUACGUUGUCUAAACCUCUAUACGAAAUUCAAGAAACAUAAAUAUUUAAACAGGAAAGUAAGUAAAAUAUAGGCCACAGUGUCGAAUCGCUUCACUGUGUUAAAAGUGAUUUCAAUAUUCGAUUUUUAUUGUCCAGCAAUUUCAAAUAGGAAACAUCUAUCUAACAGUGGGUUGAAUUAAUUUUUUUAAAAUAAUUAAUUAGUUAUCUAUUGAUUAACAAGUUUCUAUUAACACAUAUUGAACUCGAUUAACCGUAAUUACAAAAUGUAUUUCUUACGAAACAGGAUUUUGAAAACAAUAAGAGCUGAUGGUGGUAACGAAAUAGGGCACAAAAAACUAAAAACACUUAGAUAGAAAUUUGAAAAGAGAACGUAGGGGAGACAGGGACUGACAUAUUAUUUAAACCGGUAAGGAGAGGAACGACUAAACAUAUGGAACUGGUGAGUGCAUGAGUGGUAACGAAACUCAUUAAAGCAACUUAAAAU